UGGGGAAUAUUGCACAAUGGGCGAAAGCCUGAUGCAGCAACGCCGCGUGAGUGAUGAAGGCCUUCGGGUUGUAAAGCUCUGUCUUUUGGGACGAUAAUGACGGUACCAAAGGAGGAAACCACGGCUAACUACGUGCCAGCAGCCGCGGUAAUACGUAGGUGGCAAGCGUUGUCCGGAAUUACUGGGCGUAAAGAAUGCGUAGGUGGAUAUGCAAGUCAGAUGUGAAAUACCCGGGCUCAACUUGGGUGCUGCAUUUGAACUAUAUAUCUAGAGUGCAUGAGAGGAAAGCGGAAUUCCUAGUGUAGCGGUGAAAUGCGUAGAGAUUAGGAAGAACACCAGUGGCGAAGGCGGCUUUCUGGACUGUAACUGACACUGAGGCAUGAAAGCGUGGGGA
rnacentral:rRNA from 1 species